rnacentral:rRNA from 1 species
GUGAGACAGGUGCUGCAUGGCUGUCGUCAGCUCGUGUUGUGAAAUGUUGGGUUAAGUCCCGCAACGAGCGCAACCCUUAUCCUUUGUUGCCAGCGGUUCGGCCGGGAACUCAAAGGAGACUGCCAGUGAUAAACUGGAGGAAGGUGGGGAUGACGUCAAGUCAUCAUGGCCCUUACGACCAGGGCUACACACGUGCUACAAUGGCGCAUACAAAGAGAAGCGACC